CAUUUUUACUGGAAUUGUGGGGAGC
rnacentral:piRNA from 1 species